CGGAAACCGCGAGGUCAGGCUAAUCCCAAAAAAUAGCAUCUCAGUUCGGAUUGGAGUCUGCAACUCGACUCCAUGAAGUCGGAAUCGCUAGUAAUUCCAGAUCAGCAUGCUGGGGUGAAUGCGUUCCCGGGCCUUGUACACACCGCCCGUCACACCACGAAAGUUGGUUUUACCCGAAGCCGAUGAGCUAACAGCAAUGAGGCAAUCGUCUACGGUAGGCCCGAUGAUUGGGGUGAAGUCGUAACAAGGUAAC
rnacentral:rRNA from 1 species